rnacentral:lncRNA from 1 species
AGAAAAUGCUAUGCGAGUUGUUUAAUUUGUUGCUUAAAUGGGCCAGCAUCCUGCCCUGUAGCGAGAGGCCAUGUUGGGCCGAGUCAUGCUCGAAAUGGCGUGAGGCUGGAUGAGCCGAGUCAUAUUCGAAGUGGCGUGAGGCUGGUUGGGCUGAGUCACAAUCGAGACCCUUGGGCGCUGUAUCUGUAAGUUUUAAGUAAAUUGAUUGCGUAUUUCUAACAGCUCUAGCUUUUGGGAUUAAUGGUUAGCGCCAACGAUCCGACAAGUGAUAUCUGAGUCUGAGGUCACGAGUUCGAUUCCCGUGCAUUCUGUCCUGUGACGGGAGGCCUUCUUGGGCCGAGUCAUGUUCAAAAUGGCGUGAGGUUAGUUGGACCGAGUCACAAUCGAGACCUGUUGGCGCUGUAUCUGUACGUUUUAAGUGAAUUGGUUGCGUAUUUCUAACAACUCAAACUUUUGGGAUUAAUGGUUAACGCCACCGAUCUGACAUAAUUAGCUAAUUAGGAUCUGUGUAGUAAAAAAAUAUAUUGU